rnacentral:rRNA from 1 species
ACUCCUACGGGAGGCAGCAGUGGGGAAUAUUGCACAAUGGGCGCAAGCCUGAUGCAGCCAUGCCGCGUGUAUGAAGAAGGCCUUCGGGUUGUAAAGUACUUUCAGCAGUGAGGAAGGUGGAUAUGUUAAUAGCAUAUUCAUUUGACGUUAGCUGCAGAAGAAGCACCGGCUAACUCCGUGCCAGCAGCCGCGGUAAUACGGAGGGUGCGAGCGUUAAUCGGAAUUACUGGGCGUAAAGCGCAUGCAGGUGGUUUGUUAAGUCAGAUGUGAAAGCCCGGGGCUCAACCUCGGAAUUGCAUUUGAAACUGGCAAACUAGAGUACUGUAGAGGGGGGUAGAAUUUCAGGUGUAGCGGUGAAAUGCGUAGAGAUCUGAAGGAAUACCGGUGGCGAAGGCGGCCCCCUGGACAGAUACUGACACUCAGAUGCGAAAGCGUGGGGAGCAAACAGGAUUAGAUACCCUGGUAGGAUAGCG